GACGAACCGUGCGAACGUUGUUCGGAAUCACUGGGCUUAAAGGGCGCGUAGGCGGGCUGCCAAGUCCGGGGUGAAAUCCUCCAGCUCAACUGGAGAACUGCCUCGGAUACUGGAAGUCUCGAGGGAGAUAGGGGCACGCGGAACCGUGGGUGGAGCGGUGAAAUGCGUUGAUAUCCAUGGGAACUCCGGUGGCGAAGGCGGCGUGCUGGAUCUCUUCUGACGCUGAGGCGCGAAAGCCAGGGGAUCAAACGGG
rnacentral:rRNA from 1 species